rnacentral:rRNA from 1 species
GACGAACGCUGGCGGCGUGCUUAACACAUGCAAGUCGAACGGGAUUUAGUAAACAGCACCCUCGGUGGAAGAUUACUAAUGAGAGUGGCGAACGGGUGAGUAACGCGUGAGCAACCUGCCUAUGACAGUGGGAUAGCCUCGGGAAACCGGGAUUAAUACCGCAUAAAAUCGUAGAAACACAUGUUUUAACGGUCAAAGAUUUAUCGGUCAUAGAUGGGCUCGCGUCUGAUUAGCUAGUUGGUGAGAUAACAGCCCACCAAGGCGACGAUCAGUAGCCGGUCUGAGAGGAUGAACGGCCACAUUGGAACUGAGACACGGUCCAAACUCCUACGGGAGGCAGCAGUGGGGAAUAUUGCACAAUGGGGGAAACCCUGAUGCAGCGACGCCGCGUGAACGAAGAAGGUAUUCGUAUCGUAAAGUUCUGUCCUAUGGGAAGAUAAUGACAGUACCAUAGAAGAAAGCUCCGGCUAAAUACGUG